CCUACGGGUGGCAGCAGUGGGGAAUAUUGCACAAUGGGCGCAAGCCUGAUGCAGCCAUGCCGCGUGUGUGAAGAAGGCCUUCGGGUUGUAAAGCACUUUCAGCGGGGAGGAAGGCGUUAAGGUUAAUAACCUUGUCGAUUGACGUUACCCGCAGAAGAAGCACCGGCUAACUCCGUGCCAGCAGCCGCGGUAAUACGGAGGGUGCGAGCGUUAAUCGGAAUUACUGGGCGUAAAGCACACGCAGGCGGUCUGUCAAGUCGGAUGUGAAAUCCCCGGGCUCAACCUGGGAACUGCAUUCGAAACUGGCAGGCUAGAGUCUUGUAGAGGGGGGUAGAAUUCCAGGUGUAGCGGUGAAAUGCGUAGAGAUCUGGAGGAAUACCGGUGGCGAAGGCGGCCCCCUGGACAAAGACUGACGCUCAGGUGCGAAAGCGUGGGGAGCAAACAGGAUUAGAUACCCGGGUAGUC
rnacentral:rRNA from 1 species